UACGUAGGGUGCAAGCGUUAAUCGGAAUUACUGGGCGUAAAGCGUGCGCAGGCGGUUGUGCAAGACCGAUGUGAAAUCCCCGGGCUUAACCUGGGAAUGGCAUUGGUGACUGUACGGCUAGAGUGUGUCAGAGGGGGGUAGAAUUCCACGUGUAGCAGUGAAAUGCGUAGAGAUGCGGAGGAACACCGAUGGCGAAGGCAGCCCCCUGGGUCGACACUGACGCCUCGAGGCACGAAAGCGUGGGAGCAAACAGGAUAGAUAC
rnacentral:rRNA from 1 species